UUAGUUCCAGAGCUUGACGAAUAUCCUCCUCUUGACCUAUAUGCCAGUACUCGAGUUGAGCCCAGCCGGAAGCUCUAUCAAUCAGUUGUUCGAUGAGAGCUUCGACGGUGUCUACCAUUUUUGAUUUGACGGAAGAAACGAAGAAGUCUGAGAGACGACGACGAGGCGAGAAUAAAAAGCUAAACCAGAUCAUUAUAGCACCGGUUAUCGGCGAUUCAUUAUAUUCUUCUUCUUCAACUGCGGGAUCAGAGAGCUUUUGUUGGAUUCCAAUCACAACGAGAACUGGAAUGGCAGAGCAGAUAAGUUUGACCGUUGCUUGUACCCACAUUUCCGGUUCUACAUGAGGGAAGUGAGAACGGUGGUUUACUCUCAGUUUGUUGGAAUCUUACAAGAGCGUGACGGUUGAUGCCAUGGCAAAGGCCUUUGGUGUUUCAGUGGACUUCAUUGAUCAGGAGCUGUCAUGCUUCACUGCAAGAUAGUCAAAGUUGCAGGUGUUUUGGAGACAAAGAAAGCAUUUUACCAGGCAACAAUCAAGCAAGGGGAUUUCUAGCUAAACAGGAUCCAGAAGCUGUCUCAAGUCAUCAUCACUUUAGUUAGUUGCAGAUAUUAAUCUUUGCAAGGCAUAAAAGUGUUGGAUGGUUUGGAACAAAAGGCUAAGGCUAGUGGUGCUUCUCACAGAGGAGUUUGUCAAUGAUUACAUAUUCCCUUGUCUUAGAGCUGGUGCCAUAUAUGAACGAAAAGCCUUGCUUGUCUUAGAGAUUAUGUUGGAGGCAAUGGUAGAUGUAGUAGCAGAGGUUGGAGCUGAUGCCGUUUCACAUGGGUGGUAUUGGCUAAGGAAAUGAUGACCAGG